UCCCGGGUGGCGCAGCGGUAGCGCAGUAGACUGUUAAUCUAUUGGUCGCCGGUUCGAAUCCGGCCCCGGGAGCCA
rnacentral:tRNA from 1 species